rnacentral:snoRNA from 1 species
UGUGAGAGUGAUGAGUGGCACUGAAAAGUUGGCGUGUUGUUGCAGUGGCAACAAAACCCCAAUCCGCACCUCCAUGAGGACACACCAUGUGCACAGGGGCCAUCUGACUCCAC